GCAAUGGUGGCUCAGUGGUAGAAUUCUUGCCUUCCAUGCAGGAGACUAGGGUUCAAUUCCUGAUCAAUGGA
rnacentral:tRNA from 1 species